rnacentral:lncRNA from 1 species
AAAAAAUAUCCAUUAAUUUUAAUCCUAUCCCAAGAAAAAUAUCAAUUUUUCUAAUUUAUUUUGUCAGUUUAAAUAUCUUUAAAAUUUCCUAAGCCGCUCCUGUUCGAAAUAUUUCAGAAUAUUUUCGCAACAAAGUAAAAUCAUAGGAAAGUUCCUAUUUAUUUGAGUAGCAUUUACCAACUACGUAGAUAGUUAUUGUGAAAUCAUUCAUUAUUCGAGAAUGAAUCCUCUAAAAGGUUUGGUGUUUUUCCUUUAAGUUUUGAGCGAUAAAAAUCCCAUGUUAUUAUUGGUCUGCAUUUUGAAAGAUCCUUGAGUUGUAGUUGACGAUUGGUCAAUAGUUUUGGCGGAACAUCGAGAAGAAAUGCAUCGUUUGGACGCGAGAGAGACGUGACGAUGUAAAGUUAGUUCUAAAAGUACAUCAGCUCAGUAAGCAUCUUUUUGUUAGAACUCAAAAAGUCGCACUUUGCCGGCCAAAAUGGUUUUCUUCUUAUAGUAAAAGAACUAAUGGAUUUCUAACAUGUCAAGGAAUAUAAUGACAAUAGUUUCACGGCAUUUUAAUGGAUAUAUUAUUGUGAAACAGUUCUAUUGUUAUGCAGUUAGAUUUGCCGGUGGUAUAAAAAAGAAGUGCGUGGUUUCCUGGUUCCUGUCCUUUAUGUAGCUGUUGCUAUUUUUAUGAUAUAUGGAUUUGUUCAUGUUCCAGUAAGAAAUGCCCGGAUGAUAUUAUUUGGUAUCGAUUUUAUCCAGUUUUGUAAUGAUUUGAAUAUCUUCCCCUCCCAGCCCCGUCUGAAUGGAAAAUUUUGAAGUUCCAAGUGUUGUGACAUGGAUUUUUGUUUUAACAAGGUAUGAUAAUGUUUAUUUUAAAUAAUUCACAAGUGGAUAUUAUUGGUAAAGGCUUUACAUAAUUAAAAAUGUUUGUUUUCAACAUGGAAAAUAUAUUAUGUAAAGUAAAUAUUAGAUGGCAGUGACAUUUGACAGCCAUGUCAAAUUUUUGUUUUGGUACACUGCUAAAAAUAAGGUUAAAAAUUGUAAAAUCAUGUAUUUUGUUAUUAUUAUUCAUUUCUGGUUUGAGAAUGUGUCUAUUCUCAAUAAAAAUAAAAAGAUAUUAAGGUUUAAAUAAACAUUAUAAAAUGUACACAUCUUUAUUUCUGUAACCUCUUUAUUUAAGAAAAUUAUUAACAGAUAUCUAAUACAAGUGAAUAAGUUUUAGAACAGAAGAAAAUAUAAUGGCAUAGAAGCCAAAUGAUGAUAAAUGUAGCCCACUAUAACCCCAACGAGGAAUCUACGAUGAAUGUCCCCCAGUUGCUUUCCAUAAGAAAUGCCCGGAUGAUAUUAUUUGGUAUCGAUUUUAUCCAGUUUUGUAAUGAUUUGAAUAUCUUCCCCUCCCAGCCCCGUCUGAAUGGAAAAUUUUGAGGUUCCAAGUGUUGUGACAUGGAUUUUUGUUUUAACAAGGUAUGAUAAUGUUUAUUUUAAAUAAUUCACAAGUGGAUAUUAUUGGUAAAGGUUUUACAUAAUUAAAAAUGUUUGUUUUCAACAUGGAAAAUAUAUUAUGUAAAGUAAAUAUUAGAUGGCAGUGACAUUUGACAGCCAUGUCAAAUUUUUGUUUUGGUACACUGCUAAAAAUAAGGUUAAAAAUUGUAAAAUCAUGUAUUUUGUUAUUAUUAUUCAUUUCUGGUUUGAGAAUGUGUCUAUUCUCAAUAAAAAUAAAAAGGUAUAAAAGGUUUAAAUAAACAUUAUGAAAUGUACACAAUUUUUUUUUGUAACCUCUUUUAUUUAAGAAAAUUAUUAACAGAUAUCUAAUACAAGUGAAUAAGUUUUAGAACA